AUUGAACGCUGGCGGCAGGCCUAACACAUGCAAGUCGCACGAGUGGCGGACGGGUGAGUAAUGUCUGGGAAACUGCCUGAUGGAGGGGGAUAACUACUGGAAACGGUAGCUAAUACCGCCUACCAUCGCGUGUGCCCAGAUGGGAGUAGCUAGUAGGUGGGGUAAAGGCUCACCUAGGCGCCGAUCCCUAGCUGGUCUGAGAGGAUGACCAGCAACACUGGAACUGAGACACGGUCCAGACUCCUACGGGAGGCAGCAGUGGGGAAUAUUGCACAAUGGGCGCAAGCCUGAUGCAGCCAUGCCGCGUGUAUGAAGAAGGCCUUCGGGUUGUAAAGUACUUUAAGCGGGGAGGCGUUACCCGCAGAAGAAGCACCGGCUAACUCCGUGCCAGCCGCCGCGGUAAUAC
rnacentral:rRNA from 1 species